UGGGGAAUAUUGGACAAUGGGCGCAAGCCUGAUCCAGCCAUGCCGCGUGAGUGAUGAAGGCCCUAGGGUUGUAAAGCUCUUUCACCGGUGAAGAUAAUGACGGUAACCGGAGAAGAAGCCCCGGCUAACUUCGUGCCAGCAGCCGCGGUAAUACGAAGGGGGCUAGCGUUGUUCGGAUUUACUGGGCGUAAAGCGCACGUAGGCGGACUUUUAAGUCAGGGGUGAAAUCCCGGGGCUCAACCCCGGAACUGCCUUUGAUACUGGCAGUCUUGAGUAUGGUAGAGGUGAGUGGAAUUCCGAGUGUAGAAGUGAAAUUCGUAGAUAUUCGGAGGAACACCAGUGGCGAAGGCGGCUCACUGGACCAUUACUGACGCUGAGGUGCGAAAGCGUGGGGAGCAAACAGG
rnacentral:rRNA from 1 species